UUAAUUUUUUAUUUUGUAAAAAAUUAAAGUUUUCUCUCUUUUGCUUUACCUUUUUCCCCUUUCUUCUCUACCAUCUUCGCGGAAGAAGCACCAAAAACUCCAACGUCAGUCUUCUCCAUCUCUACUGGCCGGCCACACAAAAGGACCUUUCUUCUCAUCGACGGUGACCCACAACGUUUCGGCCAGCCACUGAAGGGAACUUUUCGUCCCGCCACGACGAGUUUCGGCCAUAUGCUUUUCGGAUGGCGAUGUUUAAGCUAAGCAGAAGCUAUACGCAUUUUGGACGGUGACGGUGACCCACGGUGAUUUGGUUAUGCAAAACAAAAGAUCAAAUUUUCCAAACCAUUUUUUCUUUGGAACUUCCACGUCCUCUUACCAGAUUGAAGGGGGUUAUGUUGAAGAUGGAAGGGGAAAGAGUAAUUGGGAUGUUUUUUCUCAUAUUCUAGGUUAAACCCACUUUCUAAUUUCUCAUUUUGAUAGAAACUCAGUUUUACAAUUUGCCUAAAAAAGUUUUCAUGGAAUUUGCAAAAAAAAUUAAGAACAAUGACACAAAUUGGUCACCGAACAAUUAAAGCCGGUGAAUGGCUUGUAUAAAGUGAAGAAAUGGAUAGAAGACCGCGGAUUGAAACGUGCGGCAGUUACAAAUGCCCCUCUGCCGAAUGCUGAGCUUAUGAUCUCAAUGCUUGGUCUUACGGAUUUUUUUGAGGCUAUCAUUAUAGCAACGGAAGUCUGAGCAUGCAUUGCCUGUAAAAUAUCAGCAACAAAAACUAUCUUUUCAUCAAUAUCAAUCUGUUGUUUUCGACACUUUAUGUUGCAAUAACUUUGAUCACCCCUGUUUCAUAGAACAAACAAAAAAAAUAUCAGCAACAAAAACUCAACUACAAAUUGAGAGAACUUCUUCCAAACGAAAAAGAAAAAGAUGGGCUUCUAGCAGAUAUCAUGAGUAAAAGAAAACAUGAGGAAUGGGAGCGGGUCGCAAGUUGAAGUCCCACUGUAUAAAACAAAGUUGGGCUGACAAAGCAUACAAGAAAUCCCAUCUUGGAAACGAGUGGAAGAAACCAUUUGCUGAAUCUUCCCACACAAAAGGAACCUGAAAUUGAAUAUGUUGAAGGAUAUGAGGAAUUAGAAGAAGAUGAAGAUAUGGAAGAUUUCGGCAACAUAUGAAGUUCUUUCAAAUUAUCAUUCAGUAUUAUGACCCCAUACUAUAGUGAGGAGACUGUCUAUUCUAAAACUUAUUUUGAGAUGGGAAAUGAGGAUGGUGUCUCCAACAUAUGUUAUUUGCAGAAAAUCUAUCCAGAUGACCGGAACAAAUUCAUGGAGUGACUCAAUUGUUAAAAAGACGGUGAGAUGUGGGUGGACAUUGAAGCUUGAGAAGACGUGUAGGAUUUCCUAUUUAAGUCUUAUAUUAGGAUCUUGUUUCACGUGCUAUUGUAGAAUAUAGAGAUAUCAAUACAAUUAGGAACUAAAGAUCUUUCAUUAUUUAAAAUACUUUUCUAAUUUACAUAUCAUAAAUUGUUGAAACAUUAAAGGUAAA